AUUCCAUGAUGGGGACACUUCCUCAUUAGUGACUUAAAUUGAUUCCAAGCUUCGUAUAAAUUUUUACCUUCGAAUUGCUUGAAAUUAGCGAUCUCAUAACAGAGCU
rfam:Gossypium raimondii Chr12_contig_564, whole genome shotgun sequence.